UUGGAAAAUACUGACACAAAAUCAGAUCCAGCAAGGGCAUCGUGUGGGUCUGCCUGUGGUGUCCCUCACAAGGGCCAGUCUCUGCUCCUCAUGCUGCUAAUGUGAUCCCAGGAGCAGGGAAACCAAAUGGGCCUUCAUUAAGGGAACUUAGGACUCUGAGUUCCCUUCCAGGAGAGUUGCUGAAAUUCCAAAAACCUGGAGUCACCAGGAAAGACAGCAAUUACCAGAGCCUUCCAGAGCAGGAACCUCACAGAGAAUUAUGAAGACCCCUGAGUCCCUGUUUACUUUGACAUCUGAACCUUGCGCAGCUCACCAAGGCCUUGGUUAUCAUCAUUGUGUAAGCUUUUCUUUCUAAAAAUGGAUCGGUUCUGGCAGAGCGUAGGGGUCGUGUCCACUGUUUUCACUUGGAUUUUCCUCAGGCCCAGCACGAUGCCCUCUUCAGGAACAGGUUCUCACCUGGUCACCUGCUGAAUGUCCCCGUUUCAGAAUCAGAAGCCCAGCACGGCAGGAGGGGCUCCUCCUAGCAGGUCCCCGAGGCCAGGCGCACUUGCCAGGCUUUGGCAGGCCAACGCUGCUGCUCCUCGCCCUUCGUUCCCCUCUGGAGAUCAUCAGUUAUCGUGAUGUCUCAACCAGGGAUUACGAUCAGCCUCGGAGAAAAAGUGUAGAACUGUUUUCUCUUCGUUUGGCGACUUUCUAUUCUGGUCUCCCCAAAAGAUCGCGUACCAGUCCCUGAGGCGGUGUGUGCGUUCGCUGGAAGCAGGUUCCUCAACGCGGGACGACCUGAGCACGUGACCAGCCGCAGCACAAGGGACCCCAGCCGGCGCGACCCGAGCCUGCUCCACCAAGUGGGGGACCAAGCCCAGGCACAAGUCCCCUGCCCCGAAGCGCCUCACCCUUCCCACCCCCGCAAGAAAAGAGCAUCAGCCUGCCCGAGGCCAGGGGAUUGCCGAGCUGCCAUCUGGAGAGCCGCGCACGCCCGAGGUGCCGCCCUGGAUGGUGCAGGCCACAGGCUGCCCCUGGACGCGGACCCCGCGUGCGCGCAGGCUCUCCAGAGCCGUCUGUGGCCUGUUACAGCAGCACAUUCCCAAGUCACAUGACAGUUGCCUGUUAGGACAGGAUUCCGGGGUCUCCGGUGGACGAGCUCCGGGAAGCAGCUCUGAGUCCUCAUGCGGUCAGCCAGCCCGCUCCGGCUGGCAACACCGUCCACUCCGAGACCCACCCGCACCGCAGGAAGCAGUUCUGGGGGUCUCUCCCUGGCCCGCCCACCUGCUCAGACGCUGCCUCGUUUGUUGUCUCGCGUUGGAUCGGGACUCCAGCUCGCAGCAAUGCUGCGGUCCGAGAUGGGUCUUGUCCUCCUAAUCACCACCUACACUCUCCGAGGGAAGGGAACACAUCGUAUGUUCAUGGGAGCAUCUUGGGUGCCUAGCACUUUGCCAUUUACUCUGUAAAUAUCUUGUAAGAAAAACUGUCACGUGAGAUAAGUAUGAAAAUGCUUUUUUGUUUCAAACCGUGAAAUAAAAUCUCUGGAGGCCAAGGUGCAUGAAUAUAGGCCUAUUAGGAAAUAGCAGUCUCUGACACAGGCCCUGGUUGAUCUGCCCUCCAAAGUACCAUCUCCGACUUUCUAGUUUGAUAUGGCAAUUACAUUAUAUGAGCUGGCAGGGAGUGCCCAGGGACACACUGUCGGGAGUACCACGUGCCGCUCUGGGCUAGCAGGUGACUCUGGAAGGGCGCAUGGUCGAGUGCCCCCACCCCUGCAGCGAUGUGCUGUCUAUCUGGACCCCCAGGGUGAACAAGCUGAGCACAUAUGAACCUGUGUAUGAGGAGCCUGCAGCGGAAGUCCCCUGACCCCAGUACCCUUGCUUUUAUCAAAGCAGAGACUCAAGUUUUUCCCCAAGCGACAUACUGUGGCCUGAGACCCAGCUCCCAGGAUCUUAGUCAGGGCUUCCUGUGGAGUUGGGAAUUUCCUCGAUGGGAGAAGGGGACCAGGCUUUCUGUGAUGCCCCAGCAGCACCAUGUCCUUUUCUGGGCUCACAGCCUGGGGACCUGGGGGUGAAGGAGGCUGCUGGAGCUCCUGGCUCCUGCCGAUUCCUCUCCCCCAUCACUGUCUUCCCAUGGCAGCUUCCUUCAGUGGCGCUAUCCGUCUUUUACUUAUUGACUUUUCUGUCUCCUCCUUUGCCUCCCACUAGGGUAAGGCUUCCUCGUGGUUUUAUUCACUUCUGAAACCCCUUCAAUUAAACAAUGUCUGUGGAGACACUUGAUGGUAUCAUGAGAUGGGAACCUUCCUGAACACGUCAUCUUUGCCCCUGAUGCUCUGGGCAGCUGGCAUUGGAUCUCCCCAGGGUCUGAGGAAGAGCAGAGCCAGAGACAGAGUCUCACUGCAGUGCCCAACCAUUGCUGAGGCUGAUUUUGAACUGGUGAUCCUCCUGCCUCAGCCUCCUGAGCCACUGGGAUUGCAGGUAUUGCUAGAAUUUGAACCCAAGUCAUCUGGUUCCAGAAUCUAAGGUCUUAAUCACUACUUCAUAAAGCCUCCUUCUAUCAACAAAUCCAAUAGGUAAAUGUAAAUAACAAUAACUAUAUAGUGGGAUGAUAUUUUGAUAAAUGAACUAAAUUUGUUGUCAGUCACUAUUUCCUAUAACUUGAUGAUCUUCCUUCAAUAGCAGUGUCUUGAUGCCCUUAGGGACAGUAUGACAGAAUGUAAGACAGAAAACAAAAGAAUUGAACUGUGAGGUCUGGGCACAAGCAAUAGAUUUGAAAGAAGAGCAUUGUAUCUCCUCAUCCAGGGCAAGUGGGCCUGUCUCCUCUGGAGGAGAAAGGACUUAAGCUGUGUUUUGGUUACUCCUCUCCUAAAUUCCUGUGUUAGCUCUUCACUGCUGUGACAAAAUUCAAGAGAAAAAUGACUUGGAGAAGGAAAGAUUUAUUUUGGUGAUGGUUUCAAAGAUUUUAAUCCAUGGUUGAUUGGCUCCAUUGCUCUACGCCUGGCAUGAGGCAGGACAUCAUAGAGGAAGAGUGUGGUAGAAGAAAGAAAGGUACUGAGCUCCUGGCAGCCAGGAAGGAGAGAGGGAGAAAGAGAGAGAGGGAGAGAGAGAGGGGGAGAAACUGCCCUGGCAGAGAGUACUUGGUAAAUAUUAACUCAUUAACAAAUGAAAGAAUUUCAGGGAGUGUUCCAGGACUUGUUUUGGAAGAGAACCUGGGUGUUCUAUUGAUGCCCAGGGCCACUCCUUCCCCGCCUGAGACCAGCUCUGUCUGGGGCCUGCUCUCCAUUAAGCAAGGCCACAAACAUAUAAUUUUUUCCAUUCCCAGUAGGAAUAUAUUUUUCCUACAAGUAGGACUAUCGUCGAGAUAACUGAUGUAAAGAUUUUUGAUAGCCGAGGUCUUCACAGGAUGGAAGGUUCUCUGAUCAGUGUGAUGACCUUACAAAGUGAGGAAGCUGCAGACCUGAGGAAUCGAGAGCCAGCGGGUUUCAGUCGGAGAGUCUGGGCUGGAACCUUGUUGCUCCUCAUGGAAAGUUACUAUGCAAUUUGAUUUUGUUAUCUAUAAAAAGCGAAUUUAAAAAUUGUUUGCUUUGGGAAGAUUGCUAUGUGAAUUAAAUAAAAGGUAUAAAGUUCUUAGUGCAAUGAAAGUUGACUGCCACACUCAGCUGGGAUACACAAGUACUCUGGGGAAGGAGCAGGAAGUUCGUGGGAGCCACAGAGCCAGACAGGUGUCUGCCACUUUAUAGUCAGGGCAGAACAAAGAUAGAUAUGGCAAAGAACCUUUACAAGUCAAAAUUAAUGCUUUGACAGAACAGUAUUGUUAUAAAUGUCUUAUUUAGUAAAGCUUUAACCCAUGUUUGAAAUUCCUUGAGUUUCUCUAAGUACAUGAAUUGUUUAUUUUAGAAUUUUCUGAAGUAGUUAGAUAAUGUUUCAUUAUUGGAG